rnacentral:lncRNA from 1 species
CAAAAAGCUAGAGUUCUUUCUAUAGACCCAAAAUUAAAACUCACUCUACAUGAGAAAUAACUUCAAAAGUACUCUAGCACUGCCCAUAGCUAGCACCACGGAUCUUCAUACUACAUAGAUUUUAUUACAUCAUUAUUCAUAAGACGUACAUUAACCUCUCUCUGGUACUGGUACUGCUUAGAAGUUAAAAGCCUACAAAGUCCAAAAUUGAUGAUAAGCCUACAAAGCUUCUACCCUGUUGACCUUGUAGUUGUUGCUCGCACCUUCUUUGGCACUGCUGUUGUUGUUGCCAAUCCCCACCUUGCUGUCUCUGGCAACGAUGCUGGCACAUCUGCUGACGCUCCUUGUGGCUAAGUUGUUGUGCGCACUGUUGACGGCAUUGUUGUUGCUGGCCUUGUCCUUGUUGUCUGGAUUGGCAGCUUUGUUGGCAUUGCUCAAAUUUCUGCUCGGGAUCUCGUGAAUACAAGUCCACGUAUUCUUCUCCUUGCUGAAGUUGUUGCUCGCACCUUCUUUGACAUUGCUGUUUUUGUUGCCAAUCCCCACCUUGUUGCCUCUGGCAGCGCUGCUGGCACAUCUGACGUGCGCAUUGUUGACGGCAUUGUUGUUGGCCUUGUUGCCGGGACUGGCACCUUUGCUGGCAUUGCUCAAAUCCUUUCUCGGGAUCUCUUGAGUACAAGUCUACGUAUUCUUCUCCUUGUUGUAGUUGUUGCUCGCACCUUCUUUGGCACUGCUGUUGUUGUUGCCAAUCCCCACCUUGUUGCCUCUGGCAACGCUGCUGGCAUAUCUGCUGACGCUCGUAUUGGCUCAAUUGUUGUGCACACUGUUGACGGCAUUGUUGUUGUUGCUGGCCACCACGUUGCCUAGAUUGACAGCUCUGCUGGCAUUGCUCAAAUCGUUGUUCAGGAUCUCUAGUUGGGUUAAUCAUGUUCUGUUCGAUUUCUCUUCCUUGCUGCAAUUGCUGCUGGCACCUUUUGUUUGAAUAAAAACGUUAUCAGUCAUCUUUUAAGCCACAUAAGCCAUCAGUUCAAUCACUCUAAAACUAUAAUAAUUACCUUGAUUGGCACUGUUGUUGCUGUUGCCUAUCGCCUCUUUGUUGCCUCUGACAACGCUGCUGGCAUAUUUGUUGGCGCUCUUGGUGGCUCAAUUGCUGCCCGCAUUGUUGACGACAUUGUUGAAUCCCUUGUCCACGGAAGGGUUGCUGUUGGUCGCACCUCCGCAGGCACUGCUCGUAUCUCUGUUCACCUUGUUGUCCUCCUCGUCCGCCGCGGCCUCCUUGCUGCUCCAUCAUCUGGUCUCGGCAUUCUUGCUGGCAUUGCUGCUGUUCCCAUCCGCGCGGCAUAUGCUGCUGGCAGUACUGCUGGCAUUGCCGUAACUGCUGUUGAGGGUCAUCCUCAUAGCUAAGGUAGUCGCCUUCUCCAUCAGCAAGAGAGAAUGAGAUUGUAGCAAGGAAGAGAGAGCAAAUGAAUAAAGCUCUGAGUAUCGCCAUGGUUGUUAUUG